rnacentral:tRNA from 1 species
GUAAAUAUAGUUUAUCAAAAACACUAGACUGUGACUCUAGAGAUAGAAGUUAUUAUCUUCUUAUUUACC